UCAAUCAAUCAAUUUUAUUUAUAAAGCCCAAUAUCACAAAUCACAAUUUGCCUCACAGGGCUUUACAGCAUACGACAUCCCUCUGUCCUUAUGACCCUCUAUGUCAUAAUUACAAUUAUGUAGGAAGCAUUUUUACACCAAAAUGCCGUAGUUACUGUCUUUUAAACACAGUAAAUGGUCACAAAUAGAGCUAUUUUGUUGAUUCUACUAGACCUUUAUAUACAGAGUGAAACAUAGACAUGUAGACUCAUGUGCUUUCUUAUUUUCUUUCAGGGUCAAACAAAGUUGGAGCAUUUUCCAGCAUGCAUAGAAGAUAGCAGAAGAAACAUCUUAUAUAAGUCAGUAUCUCAGGAACACCACAGGUAGACACACAAACACUCACAUUCAUUCUGUAUCGAUGGUACAAUGUAAAUUGUUUCAAUAUACUUGACCUUCAUGUGAAGAGGCCUUUAUUAGAACGACAAAGAAUCACAUGCUUUUGGUUCUGAGGUAAUAAAGUACCGAUCCUUGUGACAUGUAUGGAGUAUAUAGUAGCAGGAGUGGAAGUAUAGAUUUACAUUUACCCUCGAUCACUGUUGGGUUUCUGUAAUACCACUACUUUUGGUGGUACCUAGACACAGUUACAAUUAUUGAAACUUUAAAGAGCUUGUUGUUACAUGUGUGUUUAUCAUAGCAGACAAACACAGCCUAUUCCAUGGAUUUUCUUCAAAGGUUAUGAUCUACCAUUAGAAUGUCACUGCACACAAUGACCGACAGUUCAGAUGAUUCGAGCUUGCUUUCCUGGAAAUAUGGAUAUUAUUUUUACCUCCUGCACAUCAAGGGCAAAAAUAUGUGGUGAACUGUAGUCUAAGUGCAGGAUUUCAAAUAUUGUCAGGGUUAAAGGAUAAUCCUCAGUGUGUUUAUGGUUUUGUAAAUAACUUGUAUCGCUUUUGUUUCAUUAGUUUUAUUGUGAUAAGAAAUUACUGACAAAUUUCUGAGAAAUAGCUGUUGUUUCAUUUUACCCUGCCAAGAAUAUUAAAAACUGAUUUGUGUUGCUCGAUUUGAAGGCCUGUCCAGGCUACAACAAAUAGGCCUGUUAAAACAUAUCUGUUGUGUUUUUAUUGUUCUGCUGCUUGCUUUUAAUUAUGAUGGGUGCAAUCAUUCAUAAAAUUUCACACUGUGUGCCACAGAAACACUAAAAUAAUAGAGGUAUGUUGUAUUAAUAAGAGAAUUGGAGCAGAUAUAUAAAAGUGACACAAAAGUAACUUUCCCUGCUAGCAAAUUACUUUUAUAUAUAGUAACUGGUAAAGUCUUUCAAUUACUUUUACUGUAAUAACCAAUUUUCAGUGACUUGCACAGCAUCACUACUAAAGGCACGCCAACAGUGCUUUAGGGGGCACCAAAACAGCCCAGUAUGAUCACCAUCAUCACAAUUAUAGGUAUUGCAUUGUGCAUUGUUGAAUUGCAUGGUGUCUGUGAAUAUACAGUCAGUUUCCUCAGCUAUAUGAAGUUGUUUCUUAAAUUCUAAACUUAAGUUUAUUAAAACAUGCUUGUGUUCAACAAUGGGAAAAGAACAGCUGGUGGUCUUUCUGUCAUCAGCAUCCAUGCAGAACUCACUCAGAAGCUGUCAUGCAGUCUAAUGACCUCAUUACUGCAGAUGUUUGCCUCUGUAGAGCCUCCUGCCGGUUCUAUAGCCUAGUUCUAGAAGAAUGUACUGUCUCUGCAGAAUCUUAAAGUUUUGUGACUUUUCUUCUGUUCUGUGUGACUAACGGGACAGUUGUGUUUUUGUUAUUAUUUAUUUGAACAAUAAUGGUAUUGAUAUCAUAUUGUAUCAUAUGAUUGAUUGUUUUUUGUUUGUUUUGAUUUUGUUUUUGCUUUUUAAUUUUUUAUUUUUUUUCCCCAUGGAGGGGAGGGGGACCAACUGUGCACCCAGAUGUCCAGCAGCGUCCCUGGACUUGCACAACACUGCUCUCCUUGUCGUUUCUUUGUGUAGCCUUUCUGUACUAUUUGAGUAUUUACUUAUAUAGGCCCACUUUUAACACGUGUACACUUUGCUACACUUCAAGUCGCCUAAUAACAAAAGUCACCUGAGUUAGUCCUAAACUGUGUAAGAAAUUAACCAAAGAAAGGAGAUCAAUCAGCAGCUGCAGGUGUGUUUGCAGCCGCAGGAGGGCAGAGCUCCACGCAGGUGACAGUCUGCAGUCAGCUGACAGUACGGAGGAGUUACCUGUUGGAAAGGCGUAGCCUACGCUCACCUGCCGAGUGUCAGAGCAUGGGACAGGAUGCGGAACGACGGCUGCUAGCAGCAGUGGUCAUGGUUAGCUUUAUUACACCUAGGCGUAGUUUUAAAAAGUUGCAUCUACCGUAAUCAAUUACUCACAUAACCAUCCACCUGGCGAGCACGCGAAGUGACCCACUCCACACCUGCGCUGUUGGCGUGACGCAGGUGUGGAGUUGAUUCAGGCUAACACGCUAUGACGCUAUAACGGGAUUUACCUUCAGUAAUUCGUGACAGGACUUUCUACUGUUUUUGACCAUUCAGCUCAACAUGCUGGAAAACUUUGAGGAGAACUUCGCGGUGCACGAGGCUCACACAGUGACGUUCACGACGACAGGAGCAACAAAGGGAGAAGAAAAAAAAGCUGCGGGAAGGCAAGAGAAGUGGGGUGAAAGAUUUAAGAAGGCAGCGCUGAAGAGAAACAGAGGGGACAGCGGGGGAGAAAGACACGGGAAGACGGAGGACGGACACCUGAUGCUAUAGGGUACAUGCAGUCUACGAUCUCUUGGAUCUGCGACAGCUCCAGGUUCUUCAUGAAGUCAUUGUCCAAGAUGGCCUCCUUGAUCAGAUCCUUGGACCUGGAGACGAGUUGCAGAACUACAACGACAACCUACAGUCUAUGGCGACAACGCAUAUCUACACAAGCGAGAUCAGAUGUCGGAGCACAGGAGGAGCACAUGAACGCAGCAGUGGUAACAACUACGAAGAAAAUGCAGCGUUGGAAGAGCACGAGCCAACCCACUCACUCAUCUGAAGCCAUCUAUUGGUGAAAGUCUGAGCAACCCAAAUAUUUUAAAACUGACACUCAUUUUUUAAUGUAAACUAUUCUUUGAUUUUUUUUUUCUUUUUGGUGGGACAGUGCAAAUGAAUAAAUACAUAUGGUACUGAAAUGCCUGAAUUAGCCAAAAGGCUUUAUUUCAUGUGUAGUACCUUGGCCAAGAUGUCACACAAGGCUACCUAAAUUACAACAAAGCACCAAAAAUAGAAUAAAUAAAAUGAUAGCUUAACUAUAUGGCAAAAACUGCCUCUUAUGGAUCUAUGUUGACUAGGAUGACUAACCAUGCUCAAGGGCCCAUCUAUUUAUUCGUUUUCUAUAUAUGCAUUAUUAUCACUUUUAUUUAUUCAAAUUUGAUUUUAUUAUUUUGAUUGUAUUUUGGCGGUGUACCGGUACCCUCUUGUACGGAUCUCUGCUACCCUGUUGGUAUUAUUUUUGUUAGUAGAGACUGAAGGUCUCAU